rnacentral:rRNA from 1 species
CUAACGAUAAAGCGGGUGAAAAGCCCGCUCGCCGGAAGACCAAGGGUUCCUGUCCAACGUUAAUCGGGGCAGGGUGAGUCGACCCCUUGGGCGAGGCCGAAAGGCGUAGUCGAUGGGAAACAGGUUAAUAUUCCUGUACUUGGUGUUACUGCGAAGGGGGGACGGAGAAGGCUAUGUUGGCCGGGCGACGGUUGUCCCGGUUUAAGCGUGUAGGCUGGUUUUCCAGGCAAAUCCGGAAAAUCAAGGCUGAGGCGUGAUGACGAGGCACUACGGUGCUGAAGCAACAAAUGCCCUGCUUCCAGGAAAAGCCUCUAAGCAUCAGGUAACAUCAAAUCGUACCCCAAACCGACACAGGUGGUCAGGUAGAGAAUACCAAGGCGCUUGAGAGAACUCGGGUGAAGGAACUAGGCAAAAUGGUGCCGUAACUUCGGGAGAAGGCACGCUGAUAUGUAGGUGAAGCGACUUGCUCGUGGAGCUGAAAUCAGUCGAAGAUACCAGCUGGCUGCAACUGUUUAUUAAAAACACAGCACUGUGCAAACACGAAAGUGGACGUAUACGGUGUGACGCCUCCCCGGUGCCGGAAGGUUAAUUGAUGGGGUUAGCCGCAAGGCGAAGCUCUUGAUCGAAGCCCCGGUAAACGGCGGCCGUAACAAUAACGGUCCUAAGGUAGCGAAAUUCCUUGUCGGGUAAGUUCCGACCUGCACGAAUGGCGUAAUGAUGGCCAGGCUGUCUCCAUCCGAGACUCAGUGAAAUUGAACUCGCUGUGAAGAUGCAGUGUACCCGCGGCAAGACGGAAAGACCCCGUGAACCUUUACUAUAGCUUGACACUGAACAUUGAGCCUUGAUGUGUAGGAUAGGUGGGAGGCUUUGAAGUGUGGACGCCAGUCUGCAUGGAGCCGACCUUGAAAUACCACCCUUUAAUGUUUGAUGUUCUAACGUUGACCCGUAAUCCGGGUUGCGGACAGUGUCUGGUGGGUAGUUUGACUGGGGCGGUCUCCUCCUAAAGAGUAACGGAGGAGCACGAAGGUUGGCUAAUCCUGGUCGGACAUCAGGAGGUUAGUGCAAUGGCAUAAGCCAGCUUGACUGCGAGCGUGACGGCGCGAGCAGGUGCGAAAGCAGGUCAUAGUGAUCCGGUGGUUCUGAAUGGAAGGGCCAUCGCUCAACGGAUAAAAGGUACUCCGGGGAUAACAGGCUGAUACCGCCCAAGAGUUCAUAUCGACGGCGGUGUUUGGCACCUCGAUGUCGGCUCAUCACAUCCUGGGGCUGAAGUAGGUCCCAAGGGUAUGGCUGUUCGCCAUUUAAAGUGGUACGCGAGCUGGGUUUAGAACGUCGUGAGACAGUUCGGUCCCUAUCUGCCGUGGGCGCUGGGGAACUGAGGGGGGCUGCUCCUAGUACGAGAGGACCGGAGUGGACGCAUCACUGGUGUUCGGGUUGUCAUGCCAAUGGCACUGCCCGGUAGCUAAAUGCGGAAGAGAUAAGUGCUGAAAGCAUCUAAGCACGAAACUUGCCCCGAGAUGAGUUCUCCCUGACUCCUUGAGAGUCCUGAAGGAACGUUGAAGACGACGACGUUGAUAGGCCGGGUGUGUAAGCGCAGCGAUGCGUUGAGCUAACCGGUACUAAUGAACCGUGAGGCUUAACC